rnacentral:rRNA from 1 species
UUCGGGAGCCUAUACAGGUUGUUGCGAUGGCGUGUCGUCAGCUCGUGUCGUGAGAUGUUCGGUUAAGUCCGCUAACGAGCGCAACCCUCGUCGUAUGUUAUAUGUGUCAUACGAGACUGCCGGUAAAAGCCGGAGGAAGGUGAGGAUGAUGUCAAGGUCAGCAUGACCUUUAUAUCCAGGGCUACACACACGCUACAAUGGUCUGUACAAUGGGUAGCCAAGCCGCGAGGCGGAGCCAAUCCUGAAAGCAGGCCUCAGUUCAGAUUGCAGUCUGCAACUCGACUGCAUGAAGCCGGAGUUGCUAGUAACCGCAGGUCAGCAAUACUGCGGUGAAUACGUUCCCGGGUCUU